GGCUCGUUGGUCUAGGGGUAUGAUUCUCGCUUUGGGUGCGAGAGGUCCCGGAUUCGAAUUCCGGACGAGCCC
rnacentral:tRNA from 1 species